AUGGGUGGAGGUGAGGAGGAUGGGGGGAGGUGUGGAGGAGAAUCUCAGAUGCCAGUGGGUCAGGGUGCCUAUCACCAGGUGAGUGCCUGCAGCUGCCCUGGCUCGUGGCUUCCGUGGCCUGCAGGCUCUGCUGCUUUCUGGCAUUUGUGGGUGCCUUUAGCCUUGUCCACAGGAGGAGGCUGCUUCUGCAGAGCAGGGCCCCCGACAGGCCUUAGCAAACCCCUGAGGACCUUAGACUUGAGGACCCUCCACAAGGAAAGGUGGGGGCAGGGCUGGCCAGAGGGGCUCUUUGUGUAGCUCUUGCUGGGGGUGCCAGGCCCUCAACUGGAUGUGAGAAGGCGGCCCUGGGGCACAGCUGGGAUGGCUAUGCUGGGGCCGGCUCCAAGACCCCUCUGCCUUCGGGGACAGAGGACUCAGUGCAGAGGCCUGGCCUUGAAUCCAUGUGGCUUUUCUACAGGCUGUGGGUGAAGACCACCCAAGGAUUCUGGGUGAGCUCCAGACCGUGAGCUUCCGGUGGGUGAGGGGGCAGCAGCAGCGGCCACAUCUCAGGAGCCUGUCUAGGGCCCGUCCUCUCUGGUGGGUGAGGGGGGCAGCAGCGGCGGCCACAUCUCAGGAGCCUGUCUAGGGCCCGUCCUCUCUGGUGGGUGAGGGGGCAGGAGCGGCGACCACAUCUCAGGAGCCUGUUUAGGGCCUGUCCUCCAGAAAAGCAGGGGCAGAGACACGAGGCAGCAGCCCCCGGAGACCCUCCCACACGUGGCCAGCCAGCAGGCGGGGCCGCAUCAGCCUCCUGACAGGAGGGGUCCCGGAUGCAGCCUCGGUUCCUGGGCCCUGGAAGCUGCCUGGCGUGGCUUGACCAGGCUCAGCCAGGGAGGCAUUUCCAGAAAGCUUCCUUCUCGUCCCGAGAGCUGCCUGUGUUCUGUGCUCACCGGGCCUGCGGUCAGCACAGAAUGUGGUUUAGGGCCGCUGCUCUAGGGGCUGGGGAGGGUGAAACCUGCGUGACCAGUGGCACGAUGCAUCCUGCUACCUCCGGAGACUCCUUAAAGGGUGGUGAUGGCCGAGCAUGUGGAGGCCCUGAAGCGACCCAGCCCAUUCUGGGCGAGGAGGGGAACUGAACUCCCCAGGAGCGAGAAGUCCUGGGGCUGAGGCUGAGCUGAGUGGAGUCUGGAGCAGAGAGGAUUCGGGACAAUGACUCAGUGCCCAGCUGUGUUCCUGGAGCCUUGGCUGCUCCUCUGUGUGAACUGUGCUCAGUGGGCCAGUGUCAUGACCUGGAAAAGCUGCAACCCGAGAAAGGGAGCCAGCCCUGCCGUUCCCUAUUGUGCUGAGUGAGCUGCUGCAAACUCGCCACAGACUCACCCUGGAUCCUCUGAAACAAGGACCUUCUGUCCCCAGGACCUCUGUCCCAGGCUCUCUGUGCACCCAGGAUCCACCCAGACCACAGGAGCUGACAGUUGAGGCCACGUGCAGGACACUGGGGAAGAUGAGGGGCCCCUCUCACUUCCUCCUCCUCCUCUUCCUCCUCUGCCAGCUCCAGGUCUGUCCACCGCCUUCCCCUUAUCCCCACACUGCUGCAACCUCACCCUUCCCUCCACAUUCUUAUUAUCCAAGAGAGCAAGUAAAGCACAGUAUUUAGUUGAGUUUGUUUUUCAUUGAGAUAAAUUGGCGUGUAACAAAACUAAGAAUAAAAUCUAAUUAGUGAUAAUCCAUCAAUCAGGCUAACAUGUAAUCUGGAUUAGGGAACAUUGUAUCUUUGUCUGCAUCUUUGAAACAGACGACUUUCAUGCAUAUUUAUCAAUGAGAAAACCAGAUGCCAAUGUUUUUGCGAUGCUGUGGUGACUGACUGUACAAGACUCAUUUACAUUAACACAGUUACUGAGAAUGGAAUGUUAGUGAAUAAGAUUUCUUUUACAUAAAUGAAGAUGUCUUAAAAUCCUGUUACCCUGAAAGUUGACUCACUGAAUUCGCAUUUCAUGCAUCCAGAAAAGGCCAUGCCAGUGUAGCAGCACGAGCCACGGACAAAACUCCUCAGACACCGGUUUAAAGAAGGAAGAGGUUUAUUCGGCCGGGAGCGUCAGCAGACUUGCGUCUUAAGAGCCGAGCUCCCUGAAAAAGAAAUUCUUGGCCUUUUUAAAGCCUUACAACUCUGAGGGGUCCAUGUGAAAAGGUUGUGAUAAAUGAGCAGGCGUGGGGAACGUGACUAGGGGCUACGUGCAUCAGCUAACAGAACAGAAAGUUUUGCAAUGCUUUUUCAUACGAUGUCUGGAAUUUACAGAUAAUACAAGUAGUUUUAGUCACGGGGUUGAUGUUAUUAUUAUUUUUAAACUCCUAGGGCCGGGUGGUGCCGCCAAGGUUGUCUGGCUACUUAUCUUACUUUUGUUUCUUUCCAACUUUUUGCUUUCUCUCUUUCUUCCUGUCUUGUGAACUAGGCAAGGUGGGGGGAGGAGGGCAGUAGGAGUAGUAGUGGUCUCCUUCCUUACCAGGUGGACUCCUUCUGAACUUCAGCAGUGGUGACUGGUGGUUUCUGUAAUGAAAUUUCAGUUCGACCCUCAUCUGAGAUGAGAGAGUGUCUGAGAUGAGCGAGUGUCUGAGAUGAGAGAGUGUCUGGUAACACAAAGCUCAGGAACUGCACACGACCUCUCACGAAAGCUUAUGUCCAGCUUCCAUCUGGUGCCAGCCCACUCGAAGGGCAGCUAACUGUCACUAGGAAAGUCCUGUGGGCAGUAAGUGUUACGUAAGACGUAGAUUCGGUGAAGCCAGGCCCAUCACAUGACGAAAGCUUGUUAGAGUGGGUUUAUCUGUCAGAUUCUAGAUUCAUAGAUAGAAAAGGAGGAGACGUUUAUGUCUUCGGCCAUUAUAAAGAAUAAUUCUUAUAUGUUUUAAAAUUUUGGCUGUGUAUAUAAUUUAGAGAUCUACAUGUAGCUCUGUGUAAUCAAUACUGCGUAUCUAAUAUGUACUACAUAGAGAUAUAAGUAUUAUAUAAAUUAUAUAGAUCUAUGUAUUUAAAAUGUAGAUCUGUAGAGAGCUCUACAGGCGUACUUUGUGGUGUUUUGCUUGAUUUUGCUCCAUGGAUGUUGCUUUUUUUUGCAAAUCAUAGGUUUGUGGCAACCCACAUGGACCAAUUCCAUGGGCGCUGUUUUCCCAGCAGCGUGUGUUGGCUUCAUGGCUCUGGGUCACAUUUUGGUGAUUCUUGCCACAUUUCAAACGUUUUCAUUAUUAUUAUCUACAUAGUGGCAAUCUGUGAUCGGGGUCUUCAGUGUUACCAGUGUAAUUGUUUGGGGUGCUAUGAACUGCACCCAUACAAGACACAAACUUAAUAAAUGCUUGGUGUGUCCCGAGUGCCCCCCAUCAGCCGUUCCCCCACCUCUCUCCCUCUUCCCAAGCUUUCCUGUUCCCUGACACACGACAAUACUGAGAUUAACCCAGUCAGUAACCCUACCACAACUGCAGAGUGCUCAGGUGAAAGGAAGAGCCACCACAUCUCACUCUAAAUCAAAACCCAGAAAAGAUUUAACUUAGCAUAGGGCAUGUUGAAAGCUGCGACAGGCUGAAAGCUAAAGUGAGACUUGCACCAGUGAAGUAGCGAAGACAAAGGCAAAGUUCUUAAGGGAGGUCACAAGUGCUGUUCUAGAGAGUGCAUGGAUGAUGGGAAGUGAACCAGCCUUGUUGCUAAUACGGAGAAAGCUUUUAUGUUCUGGAUAGACAAUCAAAACAGCAACACCAUUCCCUUAAUCAAACCCUGGUCCAGAGCAGGGCCCUAACUUCAGUUCUGUGAAGGCUGAGAGAGGUGAGGAAGCUGCAGAAGAAGAGUGGAAGCUGGCAGCGGUGGGUGCGUGACGUUUAAGGAAAGAAGCGGUCUCCAUAACAUAAAAACACAAGGUGACGCGGCAGGUGCCGAUGGAGAAGCUGCAGCAAGUUACCCUCUGCAGCCAGAAGAUCUGGCUAAGAUCACUGAUGAAGGUGGCUGCGCUUAACAACAGAUUUUUCAAUGUAGAUAGAACAGCCGUCUGUUGGAAGAAGACGCCAUCUAGGACUGUCCUAGCUAGAGAGAAGUCAGUGCCUGGCUUCAGAGUUUCAAAGGACAGGCUGACGCUCUUGUUAGGAGCUGGUGUAGUGGUGACUUUGACUGGAAGCCAAUGCUUACAGACCAUUCUGAACAUCCCAGGGCCCCUAAAAUCAUGCUCAGUCUACUCUGCCUUGCUCUAUAGAUGCAAUGAGAAAACCUGGAUGUCAGCAAGUCUAUUUACAGCAUGAUUUACUGACUAUGUUAAGCCCACUCUUGAGAACUACUGCUCAGAAAAAGAGAUUCCUUUCAAAAUAUUACUGCUCACCGACAAUGCACCUGGUCACCCAAGAGCUCUGAUAGAAAUGAACAAGGAGAUUAAUGCUGUUUCCAUGCCUGCUAACACAACACCCAUUGCACAGCCCAAGGACUCGUUUCAACUUUCAAGCCCUAUAAUUUGAGAAAUACAUUUUUUAAGGCCGUAUCUGCCAUAGUUAGUGAUUCCUCUGAUGGAUUUGGGAAAAGUAAACUGUAAACCUUCUGGAAAGGAUUCACUAUUCUAGAUGCCACUAAGAACAUUCAUGAUUCAUGGGAGAAGGUCAAAGUGUCAACAUGAACAGGCGUUUGGAAGAGGUUCAGUCCCAUCCUCAUGGAUGACUUUGAGGGAUUCCAGCCUUCUGUGAAGGAAGUCACUGCAGAUGUGAUAGGAGUAGACGUGAGACCAAUUACUGCUGAAAUGCUUGGGAUAUGCUCCUUUUGUCUGAGAAAGUGGCUUGUCCUUGGGUGUAGCAAAGCACACACUUUGAGAGACAUUUUCCCAUGGCAGCCGGCAUUUAUUACACCGAUCAGGAGCCAUGCUUCGGGCGCCAGUGCAGCAACAGGGCAGCGUGCUGGCCAUGCCAACUCCGUCCCACGGCACAGGGCCAAUGGCUUCUGUGCCCCGGCACUCAGACAUGACCACAUGACUGCUCCUGCCUGGGAGGAUAGGGCAAGGAUGCCACGCUCCCCGGCACUCUCUGCCACCCCGCCACGUCCCCACUUGUCCACUGAGCCCCCAGCUCUGUCAUCCACAGCUGGACGCAGGGGCCCAGCCAGGGACUCCAAGGGGCCCCUAGAGGAAGGCAGCAUCUCAAGGCAGAGUCAGGCCCUGGGGAGAAACACACUUUUACCAUCCAGGGCCACAGAGCUCCUGGCUGUGAGUGAAACAGCACCUGGCCCUGGUGCAAACACGUGGGGCACGCAGAAACCCGCACACAGGGAAUUCACUGAAUUCUCACCCACGCGGUGGGCUGGGCCCUGCUCACCCCAGGUAAAAACCACAGGACCUGAGCUGACGGGAGUGCAGUGUGGGCUUCACCUGAGGGGGAGGCACAGAGGUUUCAACAACUCAGGGAGGUGGGCGUGCCUGGAAAUGCACUGGGAACAGCCUCGCCAGGAGUCAGAGGAACUUCCCCGUUACCAGCCUGGCCACAGCUCCACGCCCGGGCCCUCUGCUGUUUGCCAACUGUAAGUGGCCUCUACCCUCCUGAGCAGUUCAUGAGAAACAGGAAAAUCAUUUCCAGAAACAAAUUCAGAGUCAAACAGUUACCCAGAGUUCAACAUUUCAAGAAGUCGAACCUUGUACAUCACACUUUUUUUUUUUUUUUUUUUAAUGAAAGCAAUGCGUGCUAACCCUACAAAACUGGAAGAGGCAGCGAGAGAAAGGAAGACUGAAAACCAUGGCCACAGGCCUUCUGGGGCUUUCCUCUGUGUUUGCGUCUACUUGGGGUUGAGGUCGCACAGUUCUGCGUCCUUCAUUGUCACCUGGUAUUUUCUUAAGACGAUUCCAUGUCAUAAAAGUGCUGCAGAUGCAUAAUUUAAAGGACUGUAUUGUAUCA